rnacentral:sRNA from 1 species
CCAGUCUGAAGCUCAGCAGGAAAGGUGUUCACAACACAAAUCCCACAUAAUCACAGGAAACAAGAUUCCAUUGAGUGGCCCAGUACCUAAGGAGCUGGAUCAGCAGUCCACCACAAAAGCUUCUGUUAAAAGACCCUACACAAAUGCACAAAUUCAGAUUAAACAAGGAAAAGACGGAAAGCUCAUGAAGCAGUCAAAGACUGUGGAUGUACUGUCUAGAAAGUUAGCAACAAAAAAGAAGGCUAUUUCUACAAAAGUUAUGAAUAGUGGUGUGAUGAGGAAAACUGCCAGUUCUUGCCCAGCUAGCCUGACCUGUGACUGCUAUGCAACAGAUAAAGUUUGUAGUAUUUGCCUUUCAAGGCGUCAGCAGGUUGCCCCGAGGGCAGGUACACCAGGAUUCAGAGCACCAGAGGUCUUGACAAAGUGCCCCAAUCAAACUACAGCAAUUGACAUGUGGUCUGCAGGUGUCAUAUUUCUUUCUUUGCUUAGUGGACGAUAUCCAUUUUAUAAAGCAAGUGAUGAUUUAACUGCUUUGGCCCAAAUUAUGACAAUUAGGGGAUCCAGAGAAACUAUCCAAGCUGCUAAAACUUUUGG